CCGCAGCGUUGCUCUUUGCAAGUGAACGGCAGCAUAGAGCUGCUCCUGAUGGCGAGUGGCGACCGGGUGAGUAAUAUAUCGGAACGUGCCCUAGAGUGGGGGAUAACUAGUCGAAAGAUUAGCUAAUACCGCAUACGAUCUACGGAUAAAGUGGGGGAUCGCAAGACCUCAUGCUCACUGGAGCGCCCGAUAUCUGAUUAGCUAGUUGGUGGGGUAAAAGCCGUACAAGGCGACGAUCAGUAGCUGGUCUGAGAGGACGACCAGCCACACUGGGACUGAGACACGGACCAGACUCCUACGGGAGGCAGCAGUGGGGAAUUUUGGACAAUGGGGCAACCCUGAUCCAGCAAUGCCGCGUGAAUGAAGAAAGCCUUCGGGUUGUAAAGCUCUUUUGUCAGGAAGAAACGGUUUUGGCUAAUAUCCAAGACUAAUGACGGUACCUGAAGAAUUAGCACCGGCUAACUACGUGCCAGCAGCCGCGGUAAUACGUAGGGUGCAAGCGUUAAUCGGAAUUACUGGGCGUAAAGCGUGCGCAGGCGGUUGUGUAAGACAGAUGUGAAAUCCCCGGGCUCAACCUGGGAAUUGCAUUUGUGACUGCACGGCUAGAGUGUGUCAGAGGGGGGUAGAAUUCCACGUGUAGCAGUGAAAUGCGUAGAUAUGUGGAGGAAUACCGAUGGCGAAGGCAGCCCCCUGGGGAUAACACUGACGCUCAUGCACGAAAGCGUGGGGAGCAAACAGGAUUAGAUACCCUGGUAGUCCACGCCCUAAACGAUGUCUACUAGUUGUCGGGUCUUAAUUGACUUGGUAACGCAGCUAACGCGUGAAGUAGACCGCCUGGGGAGUACGGUCGCAAGAUUAAAACUCAAAGGAAUUGACGGGGACCCGCACAAGCGGUGGAUGAUGUGGAUUAAUUCGAUGCAACGCGAAAAACCUUACCUACCCUUGACAUGGUCGGAAUCCUGAAGAGAUUUGGGAGUGCUCGAAAGAGAACCGGCGCACAGGUGCUGCAUGGCUGUCGUCAGCUCGUGUCGUGAGAUGUUGGGUUAAGUCCCGCAACGAGCGCAACCCUUGUCAUUAGUUGCUACGAAAGGGCACUCUAAUGAGACUGCCGGUGACAAACCGGAGGAAGGUGGGGAUGACGUCAAGUCCUCAUGGCCCUUAUGGGUAGGGCUUCACACGUCAUACAAUGGUACAUACAGAGGUCCGCCAACCCGCGAGGGGGGAGCUAAUCCCAGAAAGUGUAUCGUAGUCCGGAUUGGAGUCUGCAACUCGACUCCAUGAAGUUGGAAUCGCUAGUAAUCGCGGAUCAGCAUGUCGCGGUGAAUACGUUCCCGGGUCUUGUACACACCGCCCGUCACACCAUGGGAGCGGAUUUUACCAGAAAGUGGGUAGCCUAACCCUCAAGGAGGCC
rnacentral:rRNA from 1 species